GCUUCGAAACGCACUAAUCAUCGUACACAGACACACACAUACACGCAAAAAUAAAAACGGCUAAUACAUGCCUGCUCCAGUCGUCACCGUUCGCCGCGCUGAGCGCGAGGACACUCAGCGCAUGUAUGACCUCAUCAUGGAGCUGGCUAUCUACGAGCGGGCGCCCGAGUGUGUGGUUGUGUCCAAGGCAGAGAUGGAGGAGGAGGGUUUCGGCGAGCGACCUCUCUGGAGCGCCUUCGUGGCGGAACUACAAGAAACCAACGACGUGAAGCCGCGCGUGAUUGGAAUGGCGCUCUACUACUACCGGUACUCCACAUGGCGUGGGCGUAUGCUUUAUCUCGAGGACUUCGUUGUCACGGAGUCGCAUCGCGGCAUUGGGGCCGGCAAGGUCCUCUUUGAGCGAGUUUUGCAGCAGGCGAAGGAAGAGGGCUGCCAUGGAAUGGUAUGGCAGGCAUUGGACUGGAACGCACCGGCCAUCGACUUCUACAAGAAGUACGACGCGGAGAUCGACCCUGGCUGGGUGAACUGCAUGCUCAAGUUUUAGGUGCGCAAACAUGGCCUGAGGGACGCACUCAAGACAGGCAUCCCACAUGCUCCGCUCAAGAGGGCUGUUCGAGAGGGCUGAAUCGACUCUGCUCGACCCCAUGGCCGUGGCAGCUGCUUUCCCUCUCUUUCCCCUCCUCGCCUGGUGCAGUCUUUGCGUGUGGCUGUUUGAGUGCAUGCAGUCGCCGUGGUGACAUACUUGCUGUGAGAAUGUGUACUCUCGCUACAUGUUUCGAGCAAUGUUUGUUUGUUUUUUCCUUUUGCUCCCGCAACUCUCGACAAGUCCUUCUUCAACUGGAAGCUUGUCCUGCGCUGUUGUACAAGAAUGUUCAUUUGAGCGCAUGCGUUUUGUUGUUGUUUUUCACUUUCUUUGUUCCUCUUCCUGAUGACGGGGGACACCUCAGCGUGGUGACCGGGUCACGUGCAUACCGGCGCAGGGAAGUCCGAGCGAAUUAUCGCUGCGGAUGUCCGCGGCCAGGCCCUGGAUGGCGCCGCGUCGGUGCGCGCGGCGACAGUGCACACAUUUGUGUCAUCCAUAUGUUAAGCAAGGUGUCGGCGUGACUCUAACGUACCCCACCUGGCCCUCGCACUGCCUACUGGUGGUGGGGAGCCUAAGCCACUCCGUGUGAUGCGCCAGGUGGCGGCCCGCGAGGCGGGGGUGGGUGGGUAGAGUCUGAGGCAGAGGCCGUGCUCCGAUGACUGGGCCGGCAUUGCACUAGCGAGUGUGUGUCUCCCGCUGCAGUGCGCCAGGCGAUGGGGCCUGUGACAGACAGGGGAUAGAGUGGAGCCCGACUCAUGUUGUAUUGGUAGAGAGUGGACACGCUGCAAACAAAAAAAAAUCUUUUUGUGUGUAGCGUCUGCGUUAGCGAUGAUGCAGCAUCAGCACAGACCUCCUCAAUUUUCGCUGCUGCUGCUGCUAGCGGUCAUGCACCCACUCCUUUUCGUGUUGGCCUGCCCUGUUCCUUCUUGCACCUUUCCUAGCGACCUCCCGCAGCUGGGGAAGCCUGCGGCGUGCUCGCGUGCUGUAGCGAUAUUUUUACGCGCGCUAAAUGAGAAAAGGCAGGCAGUCUUACGAGGGAGUCCGAACAAUAACAGUAAAAUAUGGCGUGUGCACGCUGUGUGUUGUGGAUGUGGUGUUUCCUAGCCCAGCAUGCGCGAGUCGGGCCCUUGAGAGACCGGCAGCCGACGUGGCUUCCCUUUCUCUCUCCCACACACACACACACACACCUCUGCAGGUGAUUGCGUUGUUUUCCUCGAGGUGCCUUG
rnacentral:misc_RNA from 1 species